UGUGGGCCGCCGCUUCCAUGGAGACCAUUUCAGAUUACAAAUAAAGCUUUAGAGAAACAUAAAAAAAAAAUCCCGCUGCAGCAUGUGAGGCUACAAGCAGCGUGCCUGAAAUGAAAAUCACCCACCUUCAAAAAACCACACUCUAAUGUAAACGGAGAAGCAUGAGUGCAGUUAAAGACGGAGGUAGCCUCAGAGUCUGCGCUGAGGUCAAGACUAUUUAAGGCGCAGACAGUCUGACUCCUCGAGGAACCAGGCGGAGGAAAUGACAGACUACCACACCAGAAGAAGAAAGAGGGACACGGCGCAGAGAAAACAAGAGGAACAACUGGCCUGAACUCUCGCUCCAUACAAAACCAGAGCGGACCGACGGCUCGUUUCUGGAGUUAUGAGCUUCAGACAGAUCAGCAGCUUCAGGGAGAACAGAAACAAAGUCAGCAGAAAGCAGAGCAGCACAUCGACUCACAGGACGCAGAUCAGACCAUCGUCAGAACCGAGGCGCUGGAGAAAAGGGAUGCAAAAAGGCUUGCAGUGGAGGUGGAAGAAAUGGACAGGUUAAAACAACUAAACUGACGCUUUGAAAAAGAAAAGCACAACUGGAAGUAGUGCAAAAAGAAAUCUGAACUUUUCUGUGUUUUAUAAUUUAUUUUUUUGGCAAUAUACUUCUACUUUCUAUUUUAUGAUUACUGGCGUAUUUAAAAGGAUUCACACAAACUACUAUGAAACAUUUGAGAUUGCAGGAGAAAUAAGGCAGCAGAGCUGUCCUCUGUUCAGCUGUUAGCUGGAUUGUCUCAGAAACAAAAUGAAAGAUUUUCUGACAGCUGCCUGCUCUAAGGAAGACGCUGACUGCUAAAAACUUAAAGGAGGUCGCGUAACAAAAUCUCAGCUAUGUCUUUUAGAGAAUUUGACGAAGCGUGAAGAAGCUUUGCAAAACCUGUAGUGAGAGAUUCACUCAUAUUUUUGUGUUUUGUUUGGGGUUUGUUUUUUAUAUCACAGAAGUUGGAAAAAGAGAAUUCACAUUUUGAUCAUCAUAUUGUAAAGUUUAAAAUAAAACCUACAGAUGGCCAAUUCAUUUAAAACAAGCAUCUAAAACCUGGAGGAAACCAGCUUUGGAGUUCUGGCUUUGGGAUCCGUUUCUGAUGCAUCCUUGAUAAUGGUUAGCUUUAAUUUUGUAUUUUUUUAAAAAACAGCAGACUGGUUCACUUGAUGACACUGAGAUCCAAUGAACUUUGUAAUGUGAACGGCUCAACCAGAGCUAAUUUGGUGAACAACAUUGAGCGACGACCCAGAGCCUUUCAACCUUCUAGCUGUACUGUUUUCCCAGCCUCUGUGUGGACUGCUAAAUUAUACAGCAGCAUCAACCAACCACAUUUAGCCGUACAGAGCAUCUCUCCUUCAGUAAGUAUUUUAACUGUAGAGAUUCCUGAUGAAUGACAAAUCAAGGACAAUGUCUGGUUCUCAGUGAUGAAUCGGUUUAAGACCUAAAACCCUAAAAUCCAUCUCCCUUAAUAAUCUCUUCACUGUAACCUCGACGUUUAUUUCAGUUCUUAUCAUCCUAGACUUGCUAAUGAUUUUUCUGGCUCCUAAUGAAGCAGUGAAGUCUGAGGAAUCUGUGUCAUUAUUGAAUAAACGUUAUCUUUCUUGUUCAC